GAUGAACGCUGGCGGCGUGCCUAAUACAUGCAAGUCGAGCGAACAGACGAGGAGCUUGCUCCUCUGACGUUAGCGGCGGACGGGUGAGUAACACGUGGAUAACCUACCUAUAAGACUGGGAUAACUUCGGGAAACCGGAGCUAAUACCGGAUAAUAUAUUGAACCGCAUGGUUCAAUAGUGAAAGACGGUUUUGCUGUCACUUAUAGAUGGAUCCGCGCCGCAUUAGCUAGUUGGUAAGGUAACGGCUUACCAAGGCAACGAUGCGUAGCCGACCUGAGAGGGUGGUCGGCCACACUGGAACUGAGACACGGUCCAGACUCCUACGGGAGGCAGCAGUAGGGAAUCUUACGCAAUGGGCGAAAGCCUGACGGAGCAACGCCGCGUGAGUGAUGAAGGUCUUCGGAUCGUAAAACUCUGUUAUUAGGGAAGAACAAAUGUGUAAGUAACUAUGCACGUCUUGACGGUACCUAAUCAGAAAGCCACGGCUAACUACGUG
rnacentral:rRNA from 1 species